rnacentral:rRNA from 1 species
CAAUAGCGUAUAUUUAAGUUGCUGCAGUUAAAAAGCUCGUAGUUGGAUUUCGGGUGGGAAUGGCCGGUCCGCCGUUUCGGUGUGCACUUGCUACGCCCACCUUGCUGCCGGGGACGUGCUCUUGAGUUCACGCUCGGGACACGGAGUCGGCGAGGUUACUUUGAGUAAAUUAGGGUGUUCAAAGCAGGCCUACGCUCUGAAUACAUUAGCAUGGAAUAACACGAUAGGACUCUGGCCUAUCUUGUUGGUCUGUAGGACCGGAGUAAUGAUUAAGAGGGACAGUCGGGGGCAUUCGUAUUUCAUUGUCAGAGGUGAAAUUCUUGGAUUUAUGAAAGACGAACUACUGCGAAAGCAUUUGCCGAGGAUGUUUUCAUUAA